rnacentral:rRNA from 1 species
AUGGUCAUACCAUGCUGAAUAUACCGGUUCUCGUUAGAUCACCGAAGUCAAGCAUCAUUGGGCGCGGUCAGUACUUGGGUGGGUGACCACCUGGGAACACCGCGUGCCGUU